rnacentral:rRNA from 1 species
UACGAAGGGGGCUAGCGUUGCUCGGAAUUACUGGGCGUAAAGGGCGCGUAGGCGGCGCAUUUAGUCAGGCGUGAAAGUCCUGGGCUCAACCUGGGAACUGCGCUUGAUACGGGUGUGCUAGAGGAUGGAAGAGGAUCGCGGAAUUCCCAGUGUAGAGGUGAAAUUCGUAGAUAUUGGGAAGAACACCGGUGGCGAAGGCGGCGAGCUGGUCCAUUACUGACGCUGAGGCGCGACAGCGUGGGGAGCAAACAGG